GGGGGUAAUCUUGCAGUCUGUGGGGGAAAGCUCCUGACGGCAGCGACGCCGCGUGAGGGAUGAAGGCCCUUGGGUCGUAAAGCCUCUGUCAUCAAGGGACGAAACGGUCACGUCAGUGAAAUGGGCGUGAAUUGACGGGACCUGACAAGGAAGCCACGGGUUACUACGUGCCAACAGCCGCGGUAAUACCUAAGGGGCGAGCGUUGUCCGGAAUUAUUGGGCGUAAAGCGCGCGCAGGUGGGAUCUUAAGUCUGUUCUGAAAGUUCGUAGCUUAACUCCGUGAUGGGAUGGAAACUGUGAUUCUUGAGUAUCGUAGAGGAAAGCGGAAUUCCCCGUGUAGCGGAGAAAUGCGUAGAUAUGGGGAGGAACACCACCUGGCGGAAGAGCGGCGUUUCUGGACGAUGUCUGACACUGAUGGCGCGAAAGCCACGGGAGCAGAACGGGAUUAUUAUACCCCGGUAGUCCUGGCCGUAAACGAUGGGUACUACUGUGUGGGGGGUGUCAACUUCUCCCGUGCCGGCGCUAACGCAAUAAAUACCCCGCCUGGGAGAGCACGGCCCGCAAGGUUGAAACUCAAGUUU
rnacentral:rRNA from 1 species